AAUAUAGUGUUUUUAUAUAAAUGCAACUUCUACAAAGAAAACAUUACAUUUCACAGUAUGUGUUAAUUGGAAUUACAGAUAGUCUAAAGAAAUGGGCAAGACAUUAAACCUCUACAGAGAUGUACAAAAGCAAGGUCAUACCCAACAAGAAGGAUGUUUCACACCUCCUGGACCUUGAAUUCCAAGCAAGACAUGCCUUCAUGGACUCUGAUGUUACUAAGGGGCAGGACAAGCCUACCAAGAUUCUUCAAGCAUAUCCUUGCUUCAGGGAACUGGAUCAUAUAAGCAAAUGUGCUCAUUUUAAGUAGAUCUAUAUGUAACCAAAUUCUAAAUGAGACAUGGUGUAGCAAUAUCAGCUGAGUCACAAUAAUGAAUGCAGAAUGAAAGAUGCAAAAUGCAUUAUUUUUGAAUACCCACAAAAAUAUUAAAACUUUUGAUCUUUUCUGGCUAGUCCUUACUUACCCAGCUUUAACUUUUAUAUAUGUUUGACACUGCACAGUCUCUCUCUCUCUCUCUCUGGCUGUGUAUGUCAGCUUAUGGAUUAGCUCUGAAGGAUCCUUGAUAGAGGGAACUCCUGUGUAACUGAUCUGCAGACCUGCUGAGGUACCUUUUUAUGAGAAGGCACAGUUUUAUGCAGUAUUCAGAAAGCUCAUAAAGCCAUUGUUGCUGGACAAAGUGAAGCACACAAUUGCCUUGAUGAAGGCAUUACCAGAUAUCUUCUCAUCACCUGUGGCUCUACCCAAGAAGUUGCAUUCAAGUGAGGUUAUGCUGCACAUCCUUGAGUGUAAAGAAGACCCCAACAUGUUUCUCCAGACAAGGCCAUUCUUCAGCCUGUUGUGACUGUCUGUGAAAUCAACUGCUUACUGGCUAUUGGAGCCAUGCCUUUGAUGACCUUCCCAAAAGAGGACAUUUAUGAAAGUGUGAUGUAGUUCAUGGCAUGUUAUUACACCUUUCACCUUACAUAUCCUAAGUGCAUUGUGAUACUUCUCUCUGUGCUGCAGACUGAAGUACCGUCAGAUGCCAUCCAUAACCGUGACAUGACCUCUUCAUAUAGAAAAGCUAUGGCUGAGUGGAAAAAGUUCCUUGCUGACUAGAAAUGCACAGAACCUUUUUUUUUCAUUCCUGGUAGUGACUGUGUCCCUUGCAGUGCAAGACAUAAACUUCAAAUUUGAUUUCAUCUUUGUUUGGCAGGUUGUUGCUUUAGUUUGCUGCUUGUCUAUUCAUAAGGUCACUACAUUUGAUAUAUUGCAUAUGCUGACAUUCUAAUUAUCACAGUGAGCAAUGGCCUUGUUUUUGCAUAUUGUUCUGCCAUACAUGUCUCUGGAUAAAGACUUAUUUAAGCAGUCAGUUUAUAGUAUACUAUACUUUUUUCUGUAAAUUCCAGGGUAUUUUGUCUCAUUUCAAGACAUUUAAACAAGCACUGAAUGUUAAAUUCAAGCAGAAUUUCCUAAAUUUUUACACAAAAGGGCUUAUCUUUUGUUUUGCAUCUAAAAACAAUACUUGGUUUUAGUCUGGUAGCAAUAGUUUUAAGAUAUAAUUCCUAAAAAAUGCUUCAAAACAAUGGCUAUCACUUUCUAAAUUAAAGCAACAUUUCCUACAUCUUCAUUCAGUCUGAAUGCACUAGUUUUAAGAUGCCCAUGGGGGGCUGGAGGCUAUAAAUAUUUACUUGUCUUGGCAAGUGAAAUUUUUCUGUUCUGUUGGCAGAUAAUUUUGCUUAUUUUAAGUAAUAUUUACAUCAUUUUCUAUUUUUUUACUGGUUUUUGAGACUGAGUUUUUGCAGUGUACCUUUAAGAAGGCAUCCAAGGGCUUGUGUAAGUGUAUAAAUACUGAGCACAUGCAAGCUACACUGCCAUUUUGUAGUAA